GUAUAGCCCCGAAACCCGGUGAUCUAGCCAUGGGCAGGUUGAAGGUUGGGUAACACUAACUGGAGGACCGAACCGACUAAUGUUGAAAAAUUAGCGGAUGACUUGUGGCUGGGGGUGAUAGGCCAAUCAAACCGGGAGAUAGCUGGUUCUCCCCGAAAGCUAUUUAGGUAGCGCCUCGUGAACUCAUCUUCGGGGGUAGAGCACUGUUUCGGCUAGGGGGGCAUCCCGACUUACCAACCCGAUGCAAACUACGAAUACCGAAGAAUGUUAUCACGGGAGACACACGGCGGGUGCUAACGUCCGUCGUGAAGAGGGAAACAACCC
rnacentral:rRNA from 1 species